rnacentral:rRNA from 1 species
CAGGCUUAACACAUGCAAGUCGAGGGGCAGCAUGGUCUUAGCUUGCUAAGGCCGAUGGCGACCGGCGCACGGGUGAGUAACACGUAUCCAACCUGCCGUCUACUCUUGGACAGCCUUCUGAAAGGAAGAUUAAUACAAGAUGGCAUCAUGAGUCCGCAUGUUCACAUGAUUAAAGGUAUUCCGGUAGACGAUGGGGAUGCGUUCCAUUAGAUAGUAGGCGGGGUAACGGCCCACCUAGUCUUCGAUGGAUAGGGGUUCUGAGAGGAAGGUCCCCCACAUUGGAACUGAGACACGGUCCAAACUCCUACGGGAGGCAGCAGUGAGGAAUAUUGGUCAAUGGGCGAGAGCCUGAACCAGCCAAGUAGCGUGAAGGAUGACUGCCCUAUGGGUUGUAAACUUCUUUUAUAAAGGAAUAAAGUCGGGUAUGCAUACCCGUUUGCAUGUACUUUAUGAAUAAGGAUCGGCUAACUCCGUGCCAGCAGCCGCGGUAAUACGGAGGAUCCGAGCGUUAUCCGGAUUUAUUGGGUUUAAAGGGAGCGUAGAUGGAUGUUUAAGUCAGUUGUGAAAGUUUGCGGCUCAACCGCAAAAUUGCAGUUGAUACUGGAUAUCUUGAGUGCAGUUGAGGCAGGCGGAAUUCGUGGUGUAGCGGUGAAAUGCUUAGAUAUCACGAAGAACUCCGAUUGCGAAGGCAGCCUGCUAAGCUGCAACUGACAUUGAGGCUCGAAAGUGUGGGUAUCAAACAGGAUUAGAUACCCUGGUAGUCCACACGGUAAACGAUGAAUACUCGCUGUUUGCGAUAUACAGCAAGCGGCCAAGCGAAAGCGUUAAGUAUUCCACCUGGGGAGUACGCCGGCAACGGUGAAACUCAAAGGAAUUGACGGGGGCCCGCACAAGCGGAGGGACAUGUGGUUUAAUUCGAUGAUACGCGAGGAACCUUACCCGGGCUUAAAUUGCAGAUGAAUUACGGUGAAAGCCGUAAGCCGCAAGGCAUCUGUGAAGGUGCUGCAUGGUUGUCGUCAGCUCGUGCCGUGAGGUGUCGGCUUAAGUGCCAUAACGAGCGCAACCCUUGUUGUCAGUUACUAACAGGUUCCGCUGAGGACUCUGACAAGACUGCCAUCGUAAGAUGUGAGGAAGGUGGGGAUGACGUCAAAUCAGCACGGCCCUUACGUCCGGGGCUACACACGUGUUACAAUGGGGGGGUACAGAGGGCCGCUACCACGCGAGUGGAUGCCAAUCCCAAAAACCUCUCUCAGUUCGGACUGGAGUCUGCAACCCGACUCCACGAAGCUGGAUUCGCUAGUAAUCGCGCAUCAGCCACGGCGCGGUGAAUACGUUCCCGGGCCUUGUACACACCGCCCGUCAAGCCAUGGGAGCCGGGGGUACCUGAAGUGCGUAACCGCGAGGAGCGCCCUAGGGUAAAACUGGUGACUGGGGC